CCCGACUUUCCGGAGGGGUGUAUUUAUUAGAUUAAAAACCAAUGCCCUCCGGGGCUCUUUGGUGAAUCAUAAUAACUCAACGAAUCGCAAGACCUCGAGUCGGCGAUGGUUCAUUCAAAUUUCUGCCCUAUCAACUUUCGAUGGUUGUUUAUUGGACAACCAUGGUCUUGACGGGUAACGGGAAAUAAGGGUUUGAUUCCGGAGAGGGAGCCUGAGAAACGGCUACCACAUCUAAGGAAGGCAGCAGGCGCGCAAAUUACCCAAUAGCAACACGCUGAGGUAGUGAACAAAAAUACUGAUCGAGGGCUCAUUUGGGCCUUCGAAUCGGAAUGAGUACAAUCUAAAUCCCUUAACGAGGAACAAUUAGAGGGCAAGUCUGGUGCCAGCAGCCGCGGUAAUUCCAGCUCUAAUAGCGUAUAUUAAAGUUGUUGCAGUUAAAAAGCUCGUAGUUGAACCUUGGGCCUGGCUGUCCGGUCCGCCUCACCGCGUGCACUGGUGCGGCCGGGCCUUUCCUUCUGGGGAACCGCAUGCCCUUCGCUGGGCGUGCCGGGGAACCAGGACUUUUACU
rnacentral:rRNA from 1 species